AUGCUAAGGUUUUUAGAGAUAAGGUAAAAACUUAUUCAUCAUUCUACCUCACCCAUCUCGCCAUGUUCACUUAUUCCAGCACCUUGCUUCUGUUUUCACUUAUUUUACUGAAUAAAUACUAUCCAGUAGUAGACAUGAACGUAUGAGAUACUGAAAAGGGUAGGAAUUAUUUU